rnacentral:sRNA from 1 species
AUAUUGCACACACUGGGGGGAUGAGAAGCCCCGACCGGGGUUCGACAACUGGCGCAGCCAGUUGGACAGACCACGAACGCAGUGAGUGGGCUGCCCGCAGGGCGAGCGAAGCGAGUCAAUCCCCCCCUCACCGCCA